GCUAUUUGGUUUUAUUCAAUCACUGACUGAAUCAGUCUGAAGUGAAUUUUAGUUAUAAAAAAAAUAAAUAAAAAAAUAAAUAAAUAAAAUUAACAGACAUAGUGAGCUGACAAACACUCACAGGUAAAACAUGGGUGUGGUCGAGCGUUCUUUUUGUUUGCAUGUACAUACGCAAAAAUGCAGUACGUUAGUUCCUGUACAUUAUUCUCGGUCAUUAUUAUUUAUGGACUUUAAUCAUAUGUACAAUAUGCAUGUACUGGUUUCACCCGAGGUGUAUUGAGGAUUAUGCAUUUCUAACGUACAUUGUUGCGGAAAUAUUUUGUAACAUGAUUUAGUAUCGCUAGGAUUAAUCAAAGAAUUUUGCUUUGUAGCCUAAUAUAAUUAAAAAAAAUCACAAGCUUUUAAGUCAUUAAAUCAAAUAGAAAUAUACAUUUGGUUGUUUCUUACCAAUUGUCAAAAUUAUACGUUAAAUAUCUUGCUUCAAAUGAUAAAAAACAUGCUGCAUAGUCUAGUUACAGCUUAACAGAUCCGAUGAGAAAGGAGCGACAUACAAUUAAUUGGUUCCAUGCCGUUUUCAACAGUAUUUCAGUCAGAUGGUUAAAGUGUUCGUAGAGACUGCACAUGGGAAAAUUGAACUGUUAAACAAUAUAAUCCGGACAUGUUCGAAGUAAGACGCAGUUCUAGCCUAUACGAUUUGAUGCGGAUUAUCCAUUACGUCAGCAACUGUAACACCAGCAUUAACACGGUCAAUCUCUGGUAUAAGGGACUGCAGAAAACUAAUGUCGUCAACCGGCUAUUCUCCUAAUGUCUUUAAACAGUUUAGCUAUAGGAGCGGCGUGGCAUGGUCGGGAUCGGCAGCUAUUGGGGCACCUUGUGUUGAAAGGGUCACAAUGGUGAAUCAUACUGCUGAACCCUGCAACAAAAUGUACUGCUGCACCAAACAUGUCACGCCGCUUCUGUAAUCUAUGGUAUAUUAGAGAAUAAACUCUUUACAGUGUGUGUGUAUAAACUCAAUUUUGCUAGUAUGCUUCUGUUGGUACAUUUAAUCAUCAUGGAACAAUACGGUUGAAUGAAACCGGCUUGAUUUUUAACUGCAUGUAUUCAUUUAUAAACAUUCCGAAUGUUACUAUCUUUUUCUUUUUGGUACUUUGUUUGUUGUUUUUUGUUAAAUUUGGUUUGAAGUUAAGCACGAAGAUAACAUGAAUUAGUGCGGGUUUGAUGAUAGUAAAUACUCGGAAAGCAGGGGGUGGAGAGAGCCUUUUCGCUGGUCAGAGCCUCGGAUUCUCCCUACCUCCCCCCUCUUAUAUAAAAAUAUCAUAAAAAAUAGAAAAGAGUUAGGGUUGGGGCAGCCGGCUCGCAGCAUACGAUUAACCUGUCUUUCUGGGUAGUUUUUAGAUGAAAUUAAAACAAAAAAUAAUAAUUAUAAUAAUAAUAAUGCGUAAAGAUUAAGAUAACAUGACAAGUAUUUGUCAUAUUACAUAUGAAUUGUCCAUUCUGUAUUCUGUCUUACUGCAUAUGUUCAUAAAUAGUCCGGUAUAUUUUAUGUUUCUUUCGGCAUAUUGAUUGCUUAAGUACAUGCAUAUUUGGAAAGAAUUAUGAUAUUCUGUCUAUAUAUAUUUCGAAGGCGUUCUAUUGAUGCAUUGUGUUAUUGGGAUAUUGAUUGUUAUAUGAACAGUAGUUAACCACCAUCUUUGAAACCAGUUUAAGUUGUUUGUUUGGUAUUAGUUAUAAAGUAAAGGAAAGAAAUAAGGCGUGUAUGCGUAUAUAAACUUGAUUUUAUUAGUAAACAUACAUUAUUUGCAUUGAUCUGAUUUCAUCAAUUUAGAAUUUGUAUUGUCGUGACUUAAAUGGCGCUUACAAAUUGUAAUCUUUAUUCGGGUACAGUAAAGAAAGUCUUCUGUAUUAAAAUGUUUGGCUCAAGUCAAUUCUAAUUUCAUUUUAAUUUUUGUCCGUGUUGUGAGCAAUAUUUAGUGAUCCACAAAAUAUUUUAUUCUUGUAUACUACGGCAGUAUCAAAAUAAAAGCUCACUUGUCUAGGUUGACCUUCUCGUAUCUGCAACCUCGCGCUCGGUUGGUCAUCUCUUAUUAUUGGUGUUAUUGGGCGGGCGCUCUUUAACCGUUAGAGGGGGCCUUGUACCAUGUGGUCGGCCAUUCACCUGGUCCAUGGAUUGACUGUGUCUUAUAUAAACAGGGUUGUUCAACUUAUCGGCCAUACGAUUAUUAGUGAUCAGUCGAAAGUUGCAUUUGUUAUAUGUACGUGUAGGUCCGUACAUAUUUUUAUAAUUUGUGGAUCACUUUGCUACAAACCUCUAACACAUGGGUUAUGUUGAAACAGACAUGUAAAUCCCCCCUGUUUUCUUACGUUUCCAGUCUGCUGGUUAGCUCAGUCAAUCGCUUGGAUGGAUUAUAUUAUUAUUGUAGCAUGUUUGCUAUAACCAUUCCCUCGCACCGGUCCGUUUGUUCAUAUAUUACAUUGAAACAAUUUUUCAAUAUUUCAAUAUUUUUGUGCGUUUGUUUGCUGAAGACUUUCUUGACUUACAUCAGAUUUUAUUUUGAUCUUGGUGUUAUGUUUCAUUUUGCAUUUACUUAAUCUAGGAAGAAUAUUUUUGUUGAUAUAUCAUCUCAUGUCAUAGAGAUCUGUGAGAGCAUCUUUGUCACGUUUCUCAUUAGUGCGAAGUACUAGAACCUACAAUUUCCUAUUAGGUCUGGUAUGUUCUGCUCUUAUUUUCAUAGUUUUCUGCACCUUCGCGCUGCUAUGUUGCUUCCAGGCAUUUUAGCUGGAGCUUUGUCUUUCAUAUUUUCUCAUCAUUUUCAUAUAUACCAUGCUAUAUAUUUACAAUAUGCCAUAAUUUUCAUUUGAAAAUUUACAAUAAAGUCACGGCCUUAUCCCACAUAA